rnacentral:lncRNA from 1 species
UGGUAAAGAAGAGUCACAGGAAACUGGCCUGGAAGUUCCUCCUUUUCUCCCCACCACCUCUUCACUCCCCACUAGUUGCAAAUGAUUUGGGGAGGCAGGUUUGCUGAAGGUGGGAUUCCAGGAUACAGCUUCCGUGAGGUCCUCGUCCGUGAUGGGCUGGGACUUUGUGAAGAUGCAGCUGUUUUGGCAUUACCCACACUCCUGUAUGUAAUCCCUCACCCACGCUCUAAGUAAGCCCACCAAAUGCAUUGGUUUUAAGAUGAACUCCGGUGGAGUCCUUGCCUUGGUUUGUCUGCCCCUCUUGGGUGAACAGAAGCUUGUUCAUAUCACCCCAGAAGUUAGCACAGCGCUGGGGUGGACCCACAUCCUCAAGCACACUACAGAUGCUCAGGUAGCCAUCUAUCAGGAAAUGUCAAGUUAGCCUUGUUCCUUUAAAGCCUCUUACCUGUGCCUGAGGCCAAGAAGACUAACUCCAGGAAUGGGGCAGGAGACUGCCUGAAUCCCAUCCCGGCACCCAUGUCAGAUGGCUCUCAAUUGCCUGAAACCUCAGCUGCAUGGGGGUCCUAUGCUCUUUUAUGGCCGCCUUUGGGCACCCAAACACAUAUGCCAGAAACGUGGACACAUACAGGCAGGGGCUGGUGAGAUGGCUUAGCAAUGACUGCUUUUCUGAAGGUUCUGAAUAUCCCACCAACCACAUGGUGGCUCACAACCACCUGUAAUGAGAUCUACGCCCUCUUCUGGUCAAUCCCACCCCCGGGCUAACAGCUAUUAAUAACAUGGUACAUAGUCUUUCCUUUCUUUUACUCAUAUAGUAGCGCAUGUCGUAUUUUCACAUAUUUUAUGUAAAUGGCAUCUGCUGAUGCAUACUGUUUGACCAUUUUUUGUUUGUCACUUAACAGCUCAACUAUCUUUGUCAGGACCUAUAGACUAAGCUUAGUCUUUUGACAGAGGAAAACACCCACUAUUUUACCAGUGUAUGCCUUAGUGAAAGCAAAGUCCAGGUUUCCAACAAGAGUUGAUCCUGCCUGGAGCCAAAUAAGCCCACCCACCCCUCAGCUGUGCUGGAAAUGGGAAGCCAUCUAUCUGCUAGAACACACUUGCAGAAGGCAGCGAGGCAUCUAGUGCUCCAGGGCUUUGGACUGUCCACAAGGAACCAAACAAGCCAACCCAUGUUGGACCUGGGCAAAUAGAAUUCAGCUUCUCAGUUGAGCCUCCAGAAUCAACAUCAGUCCGGGAAGCGCCUGGAAUCUGGCCUACUAACGCCUCCAAGCCGUAGAUCAAACAGAUUUCCUCUGAAUAAAUGGAACAACAGCUAUAGCUUGUUAAAUACAAUAAAUAGGAUUCAGCUCUCUGUUCUGACAACU